rnacentral:lncRNA from 1 species
AGUGAAGGAGCAAAGGGGACUCGGCCGCCAUGUUAGGAGUACUGGGACGAUUCCGCGGAGCCGGGCAGAGGUUUUAGGGGUGCGCAGGAGUCAAGUGGUGGUUCAGUGGGGACGGAAUGAUUAACAAAGGCGUCCGAAGAAAUCGUUGUUGGAAGGUGACCAAGGUGGAAAGAGACGUUGCUUUGGCCCUGCAAGUAAGAAGAGAGAGGGAAUAGCCUGAAGGAGUAACACUAAAUUUAAAAUGACACUUUUUUACCAACCAGCGAAAGCAGAUGUUCAAAGGGGAUAUUGGCCAGAGUCUGUCACACUAAGAUGAGAAAUGUCCUUUCUUCCUGAAGGUGUCUGAUGUGUAAAAAUAUGAUAUACUUUGUGCUGUUUCCUCCCUUCCCUUUUGCAUAUUAUUCUGAAACAACAUUAACUAGUUACUUUGCGUCAUUGAAGGUAUGCACUUCCCCUCUAUGUUAGGAGUGAAUAAAAUUAAAAAUAGAUCCUUAUAACAAAGAAAGGCAGAUAGAAUGAUUAAAAAUGACCAAAACAUGUUAGAAACAGUCUCUCAGGUGUAUGCAGAUGGUAAUUACAAAAAUACUUUUUCAAAAAAUGAUCUUCUGUGUCAUGUUUCUGGGAACAAGUCAAGAUGAAUGAGUUUGAUUUUUAAGCAGAAGUAGUAUGUGUUGGUGUCAUCCAUGAAUACAACAAUGAAAAAGGCUCAAAGUUGUUGUUAUUCAGAAACUUCUCUAAGUAAUGGUGGUAAGUACAGGAAAAGGAGCAAUGUCUACCAUUUUCUUUCUAACCUUCGAUUUAACUAUUGUAAUGUUGUAAGCUUAACAGAGACUUACACUUAGGCUUAAUUUCAAGCUCUUCAAUCAUUUUUCCCGGUUGGUGAUUCAGGUGUAUUCUCAUGUCUUAUGUAAACUUAUCAUGAGUGUUGUUGAUUUAUAAUAUAUUUCUUUAUGUAAGCCAUAGCCUUGUCAGUUUGAGUUAUAUGGAAGACAAAUUGUAGGGAAAAAGAGCAACAGAUUACUCAGAAACCUUCUGUGUGAGCUGGGCAUAGUAGUGCAUGCCAGUAGGCUUAGCUACUUGGGAGGCUGAGGCAGGAGGAUCACUUGAUCCCAUUAGUUUGAGGCUGCAGUGAGCUAUGAUUGUGUCACUGUACUCCAAUCUGGACAACAGUGAGACUAUGUCUGUUUUUAAAAAAGAAAGAAAGCUUGUGUUUGAGAAGUGAUACCUCUAGAAUACAGUGAUUUCUAUAAUUUGUCAUGUGUUUGGGUAGUUUGAAGUUUUUCUAUCCUUGUAUCUAAUGGACAUCUGACCAUAAAGAUGAAAAAAUCCUGCACUCAUUAUAAAUUUUAUUUAUAAAAUUGAUAUUUGAGGAGUUGGGGAGGCCAGCUUCUGAAAAAAUAACAGUGUCCCAUAGAAACACCACAACUUAGGAAAAUAUUGUUAAAGUGGAAUUAGGAAUAUCUAGAGGAGGUAAAGCUUUUCAUCUCUCAAAAAAGAAUUAGGGCCAGGCACAGUGGCUGACACCUGUAAUCCUAGCACUUUGGGAGGCCGAGAUGGGCACAUCACUUGGGGCCAGGAGUUCAAGACCAGCCUGGCCAACAUGGCGAAACCCCAUCUCCAAGAAAUAGAAAAGUUAGCCAGGUGUGGUGGCGUGCGCCUGUAAUACCAGCUACUAGGGUGGCUGAGGCAGGAGAAUCGCUUGAACUGGGGAGGUGGAGGUGGCAGUGAGCAGAGAUUGAGCCACUGUACUCCAGCCUGGGCAACAGCAAGACCCUAUCUCAAAAAAAUAAUAAAGAGAAUUAGGACAUGGAUUUGUAUUAAAAUUAUAGGUAGCUCAUUUAAGAGUAUGAAGCCAAUUGCUGUUAGAGCAAGGGUUUUUUUCAGUAGAGGUGUCAGGAUAACCUAUACAGCUCUAAAAGUAUAUGGCUGUUACCUUCCCAUCCCUGUUGAAAUCUCCAGGGUUAGAACCAAGUAUUGUGUUUUUAAAACUAUAGGUGAGUCUACAAGAGUUGGGUGGAGUAGUCCUCUACAUCCUGUGUUUGUAUUUUUGCAGUAAGUCACACAAUAACAAAAGCUUUGAGAAAGAUUUUAGGUUUAUUGCUAAUUAUACCCAUGAAUGAAUUCUGAAAAUGUGUAGAUAAGGAAUUUACCUGGUGAACGGUUUACACAUGGCAAUUGUGGGAGGGAGAGGGGAGUGAGAGGAGAUGAGAUCAGUUUUAGCUUUAAGAGGACCAACCGGGCCAAGCACGGUGGCUCACGCCUGUAAUCCCAGCACUUUGGGGCCGAGGUGGGUGGAUCACGAGGUCAGCAGUUCAAGACCAGCCUGACCAACAUGGUGAAACCCCGUCUCUACUAAACAUACAAAAAAUUAACUGAGUGUGGUGGCGGGUGCCUGUAAUCCCAGCGACUUGGGAGGCUGAGGCAGGAGAAUCGCUUGAAACUGGAAGGCGGAGGUUGCAGUGAUCCGAGAUUGUGCUAAUGCACUCUAGCCCGGGCAAUAACAGCAAAACUCCCGUUUAAAAAAAAAAAAAAAAAAGGGACCAACCAUGAUAUCCUGACUAACCUGUAUAUUUCUUAGAAUGAGGGUUUAGCCUAAUAUUAAGAAAGUCUAAUGUUAAGAGACACCUAGUAAGAGCUCAACGCUGUGGUAAAAUUAUGAUAGUUAUGCAGAAACUUAAAAGCUGAAGUAUCCAGAGACAAUAUAUUGUUUAGAAUUUUCUGAAAAUAAAAAUUUUCUUGCCCUAAGUCUUGAAUUUUUAAGUUAUUGAUGUUAAUAUUUAUGAUCUUUGAACAAAUGAUAUUAUAAUAGAGUAUCUUUUAGGUCACAGAGACCCCUUUUUAGAGCUGAGAAAUCUUACAAAUUCCUCAGCCCAUGUUUUACAGAUAAGGAAAUGGGCAUGCACACAGUGAAAUUAAAAAUUGCUAGUGGUCACACUGUACAUUGAUGGCAAAGGCAGGGCAGAAUUAGAAUCCAAUUAUCUUACCUGUUCAGUGUCUUUAAUGAUACAGCAAGCUCACCACUGUUUCUCUUUACUCUUUAAACAGUGGAUUUUUUUUGUCAUGAUUUUGAUUUCUUGUAUAAUGCAGUUCAAUACUUGUUUAAUUUUAAUGUUGGACUCUCAAUUUUUAAGACAGUAGUACACAUGAAAUGUGCUUUAUAUUUUAUGUUUCAACAAGAAAAUACACAUUUUCCUUUUAAUAGAGGAGCUUAAGUUCCUAAUUUAAAUAAUUGAGUAUGAGCUUCAGAUACUUCAGAGUGGUAUUAAUAAACUUUGCUUUUCCAAAUGGUUUCAGAUAAGCAUUUAAUAUUCAAAGCUUCCUCUUUACAGCUUAGGAAGUGGUCUGGUUAAGUGACUUGAGUUCAUACAGGAAUAUAUCGGUAUGUUCCUAAUUCCCAUCAAGUGUACCAUUAUGUAAUCAUAUAAUCUUGCUAACAGAUCUAACAGAUUACUUUUUUUUUUUUUUUUUUUUUGAGACAGAGCCUUGCUCUGUCGCCCAGGCUGGAGUGCAGUGGCGCGAUCUCUACUCACUGUAACCUCCGCCUCCCAGGUUCAAGCAAUUCUUCUGCCUCGGCCUCCCAAGUAGCUGGGACUACAGGCAGGCACUACCACACCCGGCUAAUUUUUGUAUGUUUAGUAGAGACGGGGUUUCACCAUGUUGGCCAGGCUGGUCUGGAACUCUUGACCUCAAGUGAUCCGUCUGCCUCUGCCUCCCAAAGUGCUGGGAUUAUAGGAGUGAGCCACUAUGCCUGUCCUCUAGGGAAAAUCUUUAAUUCAUUCUGGACAAUGAGAAAACUUUUAUUUUUACUUUUAGUUAACAAUACUCAGGAAAAUAAAAAGUGUGCUUUUUAAUCUUAGUAACCCAAUUUGAGUUUGAAACAAAUUUACAUAAUUUUAGCUGCUUAAUAUGCUGCUGAAGAUAAAUGCAGUAAAUAUCCCAAGGUCAAGAUUUGAAAUCCAAAUGUCCAUAGUAAUGAUUAACAGGAAAAGAGAGUCCUCUGUUAACUUUAUUUCUCAAUUUUUUACAGGUUUGGAUAAUUAAGGGAGCACUAGAAAACUUUUUUUUUUUUUUUUGAGAUGGAGUCUGUUGCCCAGGCUGGAGUACAGUGGUACGGUCUCGACUCACUGCAAUCUCCGCUCCUGGGUUCAAGUGAUUUCUCUUGCCUCAGUCUCCUGACUAGCUGGGAUUUACAGGCGCAUGCCACCAUGCCCAGCUAAUUUUUGUAUUUUUAUUAGAGACGGGUUUCAUCAUGUUGGUCAGGCUGGUCUCAAACUCCUGACCUCGUGAUCCACCCGCCUCGGCCUCCCAAAGUGCUGGGAUUACAGGUGUGAGCCACCGUGCCCAGCCGAAAAUGUUUCUUUGCAAGGAUAAAUAUAUGAAGAUAAACUUGCCGAGCGUAAAUAUGUUCAUGAAUAUAGCCACUUAAGGAAAUUCAAACAUGCAGAGAUGUUCAGCUGUAUGCAGUUAUGUAUUCAUGAAGUAUUCAUGUAUUCAUGAAGCCUUAUUUGAUGUAGAAUCUGAGGGUGCUGCCUAUACAUAAACUUGCUUAAAGGUUAAAACUUAAGGAAUGUUCAUCAAAGUCACUUUCUUACACCUAACUCCUGAUUUCAUGAAUAUAACACAUAGGUGCUUAUCAAACUGAAUACCUUGGAGAUGAGCUGCUCCAGCACCAGAAGAUAAAAUUCAGUAACUGUAAUCCUUGAGGUACCUAAGUGAUACAUUUUUUUUAAGACUGAGCCAAAAUAAAACAGCUUUCCUCCUUCCCUACCCUCUCCGACCAAACUUUUAGCCAUUUUAUUUAUUUAUUUAUUUGAGAUGGGGUCUAGCCAUGUGGAGUGCAGUGGCUAUUCACAAGCAUGAUCAUAGCAAAUGACAGCCACAGACUCCUGGGUUCGAGCAAUCCUGCCUCAGCCACUCAAGUAACUAGGACUACAGGCGUAUACUGGGGCUUCUAGCCAUUUAUAUGGUAUUAAGUGACAGCUUCUAUAGUUACUUGGUACUUGUCCCUGUAAAACUGCACAGUGUGUAUUCUCUUGGCUCAAUUAUUAGCAUAUUCUGCCAUUUCCUUGUGAAUGUUUUGUAUUUUAUAUAGGAAAACUUAAGUUUUUAAAUAUCCUGAAAUAACUGAAGAAUUUUGUUUUUGCCUUUAAGUGGUAAUGUAUAAAGUAUACUAUUGCAGAGAUACUUACAGAGUGCUUUCAUUGCAAUUAAAAUACUGCAGCUAACUAGCAUGUUCCAUAUGUGUAAUCUAAAUGACAUACUGGUCAUGUGCUAUUUCUAUGGAAUACUAACAGUAGUAUGGUACAUUUAUGCAGUCUCAACAGUUUAAAGUGUUAUUUUGGUGAUAAACUGUUUACAUUUAUUUGUUUUUAUAUUUGGCAGUCUAAAUGCAAGAGUCUCCAUUUCAGCUCUUUACUCUGCAUAUCUUUAAUGUUGGGCAUUAUGCCUCUUUCUUGAGUUUCAGUCCUAUGACUGUUCCAUUUUCAGUAUUCAUGUUUAUGUGUCUUUCUAAAAUUGUUUUGCUUCUGUUUCUUGCUGCUCUUGAGACAAUUUAUGGGCAAAUUUUGUUACUUUUCAACUGGCCGUGUAUUUCCCUGUGAAGAGUUGCUGGAUUGUCUCAUUUUCCAGAUAAACUGAAUUAAUGUAGUAGUGAGGAGAAGCCAGAUUUCAGAGGUUUGACAAGUGAACAAAUGGGAAUGAGAAAAGAAGUAGGUACUUAAACUUUUAAGAAGUUUGGCUCUGAAAAAGGCAAGAAAUAAUGGGUUAGAGAGGGCAGGAUUGUAAGGAUUUAAGAUAGGAGAAGAGGCAUAAGCAUAUUUAAAUUUCCCUACUUAAGGGCCAAAAUCAUACUGUACCUCAGUCUGAACUUUUUAAAGGAAUUCAAGGACACAAAAUUCUGCCCUGCCCUGAAAUCCAGUCAGGAGGAAGGGAGAAGAGCUCUGAAGUACUUUUGUAAUUUUCUUCUACAUAAUAAUUGAUUUUUGUUUGAUUAUUUUUCUUUCCUAUAGCUCCUGUUUGCCAGGUUUUUCAUAGCUGCCUAUUUAACCAAACUUGUACUCCCAAGAAUAGUGCAUAUUUAUGAUUCUUAAUUCCAAAAACACAUGGCAAUGAUAAUGUCUCUGCUUCUUUUGAGAAAUUAACUUGGUUCUGAAAGAUGGUGUUUGCUUUUCACACCUGUAUCAUUAAUACUUCCUUGCCAAACCUAACUAGGAUCCUCACCACCACUGUUAGAGAAAACUGAUGCUCAGUUGAACCAGAAUGUUAAAUGUGAACAGGAUUUGUCUGUGUUGUUGCCCAGCUAUGUUUAUCCAUACACAUUACCUGGAGGAAGAGAAAUCUGAGAUAAUUGAGUUGAUUAGAUUACUUACAUGAAGAUGGUUUAAUUGUAUCAAUACAGAAAAAUGCACAAGGAAAGAAACUGACACCUUAAGGCAACAAAGCCCUCCAUAAAAAGUAACCGAAUUUUGAGAGUUACGAACUAAUGUCCAUUACCUGAAGUCCUUCUCAUUCCAUUACCCAGUAACAUAAAUCAAAUUCAGUAAAUAAGCUGCUUUAUGUCUUGAGAAAUUUAACUGGCAGAAUAAAUGGAAAGAAGUCAGUAAAAAGGGAGCAGUUGAACAAGCAUGGUGUCUCACACCAAUAACCCCAGCACUUUGGGAGGCCGAGGCAGGUGAAUCACUUGAGGUCAGAAGUUCAAGACCAACCUGGCCAACAUGGUGAAAACCCAUCUCUACUAAAAAUGCAAAAAUUAGCUGGGCUUGGUGGCAGGUGCUUGUAAUCCCAGCUACUCAGGAGGCUGAGGCAGGAGAGUCACUUAAAACCCAGGAGGCAGAGGCAGUGAGCUGAGAUCGUGCCACUGUACCCCAUCCUGGGCAACAGGACGAGGCUCCAUCUCAGGGAAAAAAAAAAAGAAAAAGCUGAGCAUGGCGGCAUGUGCCUGUAGUCUUAGCUACUCAGGAGGCUGAGGCAGGAGGAUCACUUGAGCCCAGGAGUCGUAGGUUGCAGUGGUGCCAUUGUGUUCCAGCCUGGGUAAGAGUAAGGCCCUGUUUCAGUAAAAAGAAGGGAGUAACCAAGACAGGUAGGGAUUCAGUAUAAUAAAAGUCAAAAGUAGUUGUUUAUUACUAGAGCCUGGCACUGUAACCUGGUAUGUCCAAAUGUGAUUUAAUUUGCUCUCAAGAUGUGCACCAGAAGAAAUAACCCGAGGCAUUUCAAAGAAAAAACAAAAUGUGACCUGCUAGUUCUGUUACUCUGCCACAAGUUAACACAUUUUGAACUUAAGUGCAGAGUCCCAUACAUCCAGUGUGACUCCCCAAAUCUCAAAAAUUUAGGCUAAAACCUAAUUUUGUGUCCAAGCCAGUGCCUGCUUGUUCCUGCUGAAUUUAAAACUUUGGGUCCAGCAAUCUUCUAUCGCUGGAGGGAGGGAGAGGUAUGAAAAUAAUGUUUAAUGGUAAUUGUUUAUUGUCAUGGGCCCAUAUUAUACCCAGAUUUAGAGAGCUAUUUGACACACCUGUAACCUAAUGUUUAUUUUAACUUAAUAUCUGCUCAGUCAGGUAAGAGAUGCAACUUCACAGAGGUCCAUUUAACGUGCCUAAACCUAAGUAGAAACACAAAAGCUAUGUAUAGUCCCUUGUUUGAGAUAACACUAAAUUUUUAGAGAAUAGCUUGGUACUGUGGUAGACAGAGUUCACUUAAAAUGCAUUUAACAAUUUACAGAUAACUGGAAAGUAAUUCAUUCAUCUUAGAACCCUGGUAGGGACAUUCUAUUAAAAUAUUUGUGUACUAGUUAAAGUCAAAAUAGAAAUACAGCCUAUCACACGGUAUUUAUACUAUGCAUUAUGAUUAAUAAAGCCACCUAAGGUCGUUACUCCAUGAUCAUGGGAAGUUGUUAGUCAUUAAGAGUUCGGGUUUAGCAACAAAAAUCUUGCGUUUGAAUCUAAACACAUUACAUGAUUUUAAGCAUGUUCAUCAUUCUGAGAUUAAAUAAAAAUUAAGGAAAUAUAUGAAAAAUGCUUAAUAAGUACCCAAAAGGUAAUAUGGUGUAGCAACUUAGAAUGUAGACUUCAGAGCCAGUCAGCUAGGAUUAAAAUGACACUUCGGCCAAUCACUGUUGACUAUAAGCAAGUUAUUUAACUCUGCCUCAGUUUUGUCUGUGAAGUAGGGAUAAAAUCUUCCUCGCUAGGUUGCUAUAAGAAUUAAAUGGAUAUAUUAAGUACUAUCAUGUGAGAUCACUUUAUUUGAGGCUAAAAAAAUUUUUUUUAACUAGGAUUCACUGAAAAUACAUCUAUAAAAAAGCCACUCUUUAUCAUGAGAAGUAUGAUUUUCUGUACCUUAGGUGUUAUAAAGCAAUAUCCCCUCAGUUUUAACUUUACCAAAAUACCUGUCUUAGUAAAUGAUACUAUAUAUACCAAAUAUUGCAUAUGUGUAUAUAAACUUCAACUGUCUACUUCUAUCACUGACAGUUUAAAAAUUGAGAUAAAGUAAGUAUUAUCUGAGUAAUAUAACCAUUUUCUAUUUAUUUAUUUAUUUAGAAACAGUCUCACUCUGUCACCCAGGCUGGAGUGCAAUGGCUCGGUCUCAGCUCACUGCAACCUCCGCCUCCUGGAUUCAGGCAGUUCCCCCACCCCACCCUCCCGAGUAGCAGAGACGGGGUUUCACUGUGUUGGCCAGGCUGGUCUCGAACUCCUGACCUUGUGGUCUGCCCGCCUCGGCCCCCCAAAGUGCUGGGAUUACAGGCGUGAGCCACCGCACCCAGCCAAUCUAACCAUUUUCAAGAUUUGAUCUGCAAAUACCUGAAGUAAGUACAAGCACUGUGGCCCAGUUAAAGAGUGUUAGAACUGUAAGAAGUCCAAAGGCAUAGCUAAGAAUUGCUUUAGAGUCAGUUGUGGGUUCUGAAUUCUUGCUCUGAUAGUUAGCAACUAUGUCUACUUUGGCAAAUUUAGGUUUUGAAGCCUUCCAUAUCUUUAAAAGGAGGUAACAUUUAACAGAGCACCAAAUACAAGGUUUUCUGUAAUAUUAGUUCCAUAGCAUGGUCUGCAAACUUCCAACAUCAGAAUCUCCUGGGAUAUAUGCUAAAUGCAGAUUCUGGUUUCCCAACCAGAAUAUACUGCUUAAAAAUCUGAGGGUUAGUUCUAGGAAUCUGCAUUUUUUUCUAUACAAUGUAUGUAUUAGGGUUCCCUGGAGGGACAGAACUAAUAGGAGAUACAUAUAUAUACACACAUAUAUUUAUUAAGUUUAUUGAGAACUUACACGAUCACAAGGUCCCACAGUAGGCUGGCUGCAAGCUUGAGGAAAAGAGAGAGCCAGAGUCUGAGUCUGAAAACUGAAGAACUUGGGGGUCCAGUGUCUGAGGGCAGGAAGCAUCCAGCGUGGGAGAAGGAUGGAAGCUGGGAGGCUAGGCCAGUCUCUCCUCUUCACGUUUUUCUGCGUGCUUAUAUUCUACCUAUGCUGGUAGCUGAUUAGACUGUGCCCACCAGAUUGAGAGUGGGUGGGCCUUCCCCAGCCCACUAACUCAAAUGUUAAUCUCAUUUGGCAACACCCUUACAGACAAACCCAGGAUCAGUAUUUUGCAUCCUUCAAUCAAGUUGACACUUAGUAUUAACCAUCACAAUGUAUGAUUUUUAAAAUCUGCAUUUUUAAUAAGCUACUAGUUUAUUUUUCCACCUAAUCCAAUUCCUAAUUUUAUUUGAAAGCACCAAGGUAAAUAGUUCCUAAAUCACUGUUAUUUAAAUUGUGCUCCAGUACCCCUUAUUCUUGCUGCAAUUCCAAGACAGAGAUAACAAAAAUUUUUUUUUCAAUGUUUUGUUUUUUUGAGACAGAGUCUCGCUGUGUCCCCCAGGCUGGAGUGCAGUGGCUCGAUCUCGGCUCACUGCAAGCUCCGCCUCCCGGGUUCACGCCGUUCUCCUGCCUCAGCCUCCUGAGUAGCUGGGAUUACAGGCAUGUGCCACCACACCCUGCUAAUUUUUUGUAUUUUUUUUUUUAGUAGAGACGGGGUGCAUGCUGCAUGCUCCGCCUCCCGGGCUCUCGCCAUUCUCCUGCCUCAGCCUCCGGAGUAGCUGGGACUACAGGCGCCUGCCACCACGCCCGGCUAAUUUUUUGUAUUUUUACUGGAGACGGGUUUUCACUGUGUUAGACGGGAUAGUAUUGAUCUCCUGACCUCGUGAGCCACCGCGCCCGGCCUGCCAAAAUUUUUAAUGUUUGCAUGUACAUAGUUACUCAACAAAGAGGCCAGGUGUGGUGGCUCACGCCUAUAAUGCCAACACUUUGGGAGGGUUGCCUGAGCCCAGGAGUUCGAGACCAGCCUGGGCAACAUUGUAAGAGCCUGUCUCUUAAAAAUAUAUAUUUUGGGGAGCCAGGUGUGGCACCUCACGCCUGUAAUCCCAACACUGGGAGGCUGAGGUGAGUGGAUUGCUUGAGCUCAGGAGUUCGAGAUCAGCCUGGGCAACAUGGCGAAACCCUGUCUCUACCAAAAAAAAAAAAAAAAAAAAAAGUAGAGGCAUCGUGGUGUGUGCCUGUGGUCCUGGCUACUGGGAAGUCUGAAGUGGGAGGAUCGCUUGAGCCUAGGAGGUGGAGGUUGGAGUACGCCAAGAUCACACCACUGCAUUCCAGCCUUGGUGUCAGAGUUAGACCCUGUCUCAAAAAAUAUAUUUUAAAAUGAUAUUAAGUAAAGAAUAUAGUCCAGCCACAUGAGCAAGUAUUGCUUAUCUAGAAAGACGUAUAAUAAAGUUCUUUUGGGGAGAUAAACUAUGAUCCAUUCUAUGUUUCAUGUAAAUCAGGGGCAGCCAAUCUUCUGGCUUCCUUGGGCCACAUUGGAAGAAUUAUCUUGGGCCACACAUAAAAUACACUAACACUAAUGAUAGCUGAUGAGUUUUUAAAAAGAAUCACAAAAGCAAUGUUUUAGCAAAGUUUAUGAAUUUGUGUUGGGCUGCAUUCAAAGCUGUCCUGGGCCGCAAGGUGGAAAAAACUUGAUCUAAAGUAUUUGAUUUUUUUAGAAAAGUUUUUGAAUGGCCAGGUGUGGUGGCUCACACCUGUAAUCCCAGCACUUUGGGAGGCCGAGGCAGGCGGAUCACGAGAUCAGGAGAUCGAGACCAUCCUGGCCAACAUGCUGAAACUCCAUCUCUACUAAAAUACAAAAACUUAGCCAGGCAUGCUGGCAUGCGCUUGUAGUCCCAGCUACUCGGGAGGCUGAGGCAGGGGAAUCACUUGAACCCAGGAGGCGGAGGUUGCAGUACAGUGAGCCAAGAUCGCGCCACUGUACUCCAGCCUGGUGACAGAGCAAGACUGUCUCAAAAAAAAAAAAAAGGAAGCUUUUGAAUAAGAAGCAACUCUACAGUACUCUAUUGUAGACAACCAAAGUAUUAAUAUUUGGGGGGCACAAUUUCAACCAACUUUAAAUUAUUUCAUUCUGGAAGUAUGUGUUGAGUAAAUAUGAAGUAUAAGGCCCCUAGAGGUACAGAUGGCUAUGGCCGUCUAAACCAUUUUACUCUUAACUUUUAGUGUCAUGGACCUCUUUGUCAAUCUAGUGAAGUCUAUGGACCGCUUUUUUUUAAAAAAGCCUUUAAACAUAUAAAGUACAGUACAUUGAAUUACAAAAGGAUCCAAGAAUAUUGAAAUAGUUACCAAAAAAAUUUGAUAUAGAAAUAUAUGUGGUUUAUUAAUGAAUAAGAUCUAGCAGUGGCCUUACUAUAAUUUCAACACAGUAGCGUGGUGAGCAUAAAUAUUUCAACUUAUCUGCAACAAUUGUAAUGUGAUAUGGAAAUAAUCAGUUUAAUUGUGACAGUCACAUUUACUGCUAACUACUGUGAUUGACUGGCUAUGUUUACAUUUUAUUAGAAGUUAUUGAAAGUAGAUGCCAGGCAUGGUGGCUCAUGCCUGUAAUCCUAGCACUUUGGGAGGCCAAAGUGGGCAGAUCAUUUGAGCCCACGAGUUCGAGACCAGCCUGGCCAACAUGAUGAAGCCCUGUCUCUACUAAAAAUAAAAAAAAAAAUUAGCCUGGCAUGGUGGCCUGCUGUAGUCCCAGCUACUCACAAGGCUGAGGCAGAAGAAUCACUUGAACCAGGGAGGCAAAGAUUGCUGUGAGCUGAGAUCACGCCACUGCACUCCAGCCUGGGCAACAGAGCCCGACCCUGUCUCAAAAUAAAAGAGAGAUGUAAUGGACCCCUUUAAUUAAUCUAUAAACUCCUAAUUAAGAACCCUGGUUAAAAUUUUUUAAUAGGAGCUUGUCUUCUUCACUGUUGUAUCCAAAGCCUGACUGAAAUCUGUAGACACCUAAGCAGUGAAAAAUUUGAUGCCUUAACCUAUAUAAUUUAAAAUCAAAAUAUUUACACUAUAAGGUGAAUUUAAGGAAGAUCUCAUUUUUCUCAUGGUGAAGACUAAGAUACUUUUUCAAAAUUACUAAAUUUUCAUUUGUUUCAUCAGGGAUGAGGUUGGGGGAGGAUCUAGCUCCUUUAUUAAUACCUGAAUAUAUAGGUUUUAAUAUCCAAGCUUGACUAUAUCCACUACACUUGGUACACAACAGAACAAAUGAAUGAACAUUUUCAUGCCUGUAAUCCUAGCACUUUGAGAAGCCAAGGCAGGAGGAUUGCUUAAGCCCAGGAGCUUGUGACCAGCUUGGACAACAUAGGGAGACCUUAUCUCGACAAUAAAUUUAAAAAUUAGCUGGUUGUGGUGGCACGUGCUGGUAGUCCUAGCUACUGGGGAGGCUAAGGUGAGAGGAUCGCUUGAGCCCAAGAGGUUGAGGCUGCAGUGAGCCAUGAUCAUGCCACUGCACUCCAACUUGGGCUACAGAGCAAGACCUUGUCUCUCAACUAAAAAUAAAAAAUAAAAUUCACGAUACUCCCCAAAAGCUGAUGAUAACAUGUAAGAAGCGACUUGAUUUUACCUUCUAACUCUCCCUCCCUUUUAGCACAAUGCUGCAAAAUGACUGGCUCAUAAACCACUAAGCUGCCUUGGCAGCCACUUGUUAUUGUUACCAGUAGGUAAUAUGCUGUUUUCUUCUGCUUGGCACAUAAGCAGUAGGCAUGAAAUAAUUGCUUAAUGGAUAAGUAAGUUGUUAAAUUAUAAAACUCUGAUGGAUUGCUUAGUCCUUUAACAAUUUACACCCCCCUCCCACUUAUCCAAUUCUUUUGUGACAGAUUUUGCACUAGCAAAGUGCACUGUUUCAGACAAUCAAGGAAAUAAAACAUUUCUUGAUGAAAUCCUACCUCGCCUCAACAGGAAACUGAAUUGGAGUCCUCAAUUCUCAGUACAUCAGAACUAGUGUGUGAAAGGAUCAGGAGAGGACCAUAGUAUUGGAGAAUAAAACAUUAUGUAUUGAUGGUUGAGCUUUAUGUCAUCGUGUAGUAAAUGCUAUGACCAUAAAGCCAUUACUGUUAACACUUAAGUUUAUCUUCUGAAAGAAGCCUAUGAAAUAUCUCCAGAAAGACUAGGGGAUUUUCUUCUGUUUGUUUGUUUGUUUGUUUGAGAUGGAGUUUGCUCUGUUGCUCAGGCUGGAGUACAGUGGUGCGAUCUCGGCUCACUGCAACCUCUGCCUCCCAGGUUCAAGUCAUUCUCCUGCCUCAGCCUCUGGAGUAGCCAGGACUACGCACUGCGCCACCACACCCAGCUAAUUUUGUAUUUUUGGUGCAGACAGGGUUUCCCCAUGUUGGCCAGGCUGGUCUUGAACUCCUGGCCUCAAGUGAUCCGCCCACCUCGGCCCAAAGUGCUGGCCACCGCGCCCAGUCAGACUUGUUUUUUAGUGAAAUAAAUUGUUUUCCUUUAGGACCUUAUUCUUUAUGAUAACAGAUUCCAAGAAUAUGCAGUCUUGUCAAUGGCUGUUUCAUCCUCAGUUUCUUUAAAAAUAAAAUACAAUUAGAACAUUUUUAGAUAUGCUAUAUCUAUCCAAUCUAUUUUCCUGUCACCCAGUAAGGUUUUCUAUCAUCAGCACAGGUCUAUGAAAGGACAGUAAAGGGUCUCCUGUUACAUACCCUAGCACUAAUGUUUGUAAUAGAAUGUUAAGAUAAGUUGUUUCAUGUAAUCGGACUACAUUCAGUCUUUCUCUACCCUCUGUCCUCUAUUUACCCACCUAUGCAUGUGGCCUACUAAUUAUAUUGACUGUACAUGACCAGCAAGUUGUAAGUUCUUUUAAAAGCAGGAGCUCAACCAUAUUUGUAUUCACAUUUCCUUCUGCUUAAAACAGGGCUCUUGUUUCUUCAGUAAAUAUUCAUUCGGUAUCCACUAGGUGUCAGAUAAUAUACAAGGUAGGUUCUAGGGAUUCCAAGAUAAAUAAACACAGAUAUGCCAAUAUGAGUCUGACAGUUUUGGCGGGGAGAGGUGGAAAAUAGAUCUGCAAGCCAAAAAAGCUACAGUAGAAUAAUAUAAAUAUUGUAAUGGCAAUAAAAUACCAGAACUAUUAAUUUUACAUUUAGUAAUCAUUCAGUAUCAAUUAAAUGGGUAAAAUGGAUAUGUUGGCAUGAAUGACAUAUAACUGAAAAAACACUAAGAACUGUAUAGAAACUGAAUUAGACAUAUGAGUAAUAUUAGUAGGAAGGGGAGAGAAUAUUUGAUUCCAGGUAGGCUACCAAGCAGGAUGUUUUUUCAGCACAGCCUUGGAAUAAAAUCUGUAACCUUUGAAAACAAUCACAUUUUUGUUCUUAUGCAAUCUUUGUUUUUAAAUGUAUUUAUUGUUUUGGCUCUAGUCCCUGAAUGUUAAAAUUUUAGUGUCAGUGUUAAUUCUCACUUAUCUUCUCCAGACCUUACUCCCUAAUUUUCUCAUUUUCAUUUGCCCCAAUAAGUGCCAACCUUACCUUGAAUAGAAUAGUGGAUUUAUCAGCUUACAAGGACUAAAAAGUCGUCAUUUCCAAAAACAUCUGUCCAAUAAGUCUGCCUCAGUGACUACAUUUCUAGCAUUACAAUGUCAUUCUUAGUACACUGAUUUGAUCUUUACAAAUUACAUAAAUGUAUAAAAUUGUCGCAUGUACCCUAAAUUAUAUACAUCUAUUAUGUAUGUAUCAAUAAAAAAAUAAUUUUCUGUGCUUUUUCUCCUGUUAAAAAGAAUUCUUUUCUUUUUGAGACAGGGCCUGGCUCUGUCACCCAGGCUGGAGUGCAGUGGUGCAAUCUUGGCUCACUGCAGCCCCUGCCUCCCAGGCUGAAGUGAUCCUCCCACCUCAGCCUCCUGAGUAGUUGGGACUACAGAUGGGUACCACCAUGCCUGGCUAAGUUUUUGUAGAGACAGGGUUUUGCCAUGUUGUCCAGGCUGGUCUCAAACUCCUGAGCUCCAGCAGUCUUCCUGGCUUGGCUUCCCAAAGCGCUGGGAUUACAGGUGUGAGCCACCACACCCAGCUGAUUCUUUAGAAGACCAGUAUUGCAUUGUGAUUGCCUCUGGGCAGGAAAACUAAGGGGCAUCAGUAGACUAUGCAAUUACUUUCUUCCUCUUUAAAAAAGUAUUGUUAAUUUUUAAAUUUACAUAUUUUGGUAUACAAUUCUAUGAGUUUUGACAAAUGCAAAGAAUCAUAUAACCACCGCCAUAAUUGAGAUACUAAACAAUUCUAUCACCUCAAAAAAAAUCCUCUUGAGCUGUCUCAUUUAUAAUUUUUGUGAUUAAAAAUGGUUAUUUUUCAAAAAGUAACGUUUGGGCCAGUGCGCCUGGAGUGCACCAGUAGUCCCAGCUACUAGGGAGGCUGAGGCAGGAGAAUUGCUUGAACCCGGGAGGUGGCGAUUGCAAUCAGCUGAGAUCACACCACUGCACUCCACCCUGCAUAUAGUAGUGUUUCUUAAUGUUUUGGAUCCAUGGACUUAUAAAAAUUUUAUAAAAGCUAUGGCUACAUCCAGGAUGUUACCUCCCUCCCCUGCCACACACAAAAGGAAACAGCCAAGUCCCUCCCCUCACUCUAACCAUUCCCACAUCUAUAUUUGUGUAAAACCCAUGAUUUUAAACUGUUUGCAGCCCCUCUGUAAUCCAUUCACAUGACCCAAGAACUCAGCCCUGGAAACAUCUCUGGGUAUCCAGGUAGACUAAAAGCAUAGUUCCAUUAAUUUAUAGUGCUAUAUGGUUCUGCCAUGCUUUAUUGGUCCUUUAUAGACUUGAGAAAAUCACACCAUGCCUCUUGACCAUUAACAAAUGGUCAUGUUCAGUCUUCCUUUUUAUGAGUGGAAAUUCCAUCCAAUUUGCUUUUAGGUUCAUUAAUAUGUACUACAACCAAAAGAUCAGCAGCAUUAUAUACUUUAUCUUUUUUAGUCUUUUGAAGUACAAAUUAUGCGAUUUUACAGAUAAAUUAUCUCAUGGGUAGCAUAUGUCUGGCUUUCUAGGUGGAAUGAUUCCUAUUUCUUUUUGUACCUCUCCCCAUUCAGAACUCACUUUGAGGCCAAGCGUGGUUGCUCAGGCCUGUAAUCCCAGCACUUUGGGAGGCCGAGGCAGGUGGAUCACCUGAGGUCAGGAGUUGGAGACCAGCCUGGCCAACACGACAAACCCCGUCUCUACUAAAAAUACAAAAAUUAGCCUGGCAUGGUGGCACACACCUGUAAUUCCAGCUGCUCGGGAGGCUGAAGCAUGAGAAUCACUUGAACCUGGGAGGCAGAGGUUGCAGUGAGCCAAGGUUGCAGUGGAUCAAGAUCACACCACUGCACUCCAGCCUGGGCAAUAGAGUGAGACUCUGUCUCAAGAAGAAGAAAAAGAAAAAAAACUCACUUUAAACUCUGCUAGACCAUUGCCCUUGUAUGUGAAAUUUUAUCUGGAUAGAAGAAGAUGAGGAAAAAAAUUUUCUUGUCUUUUAGUGGAGGAGAAUGACAUGUAAAACAAGUAUUCUUUAAAAAUUCCAAAUAUGAUAUGAGAACUACCCCAUAAAGUUGUGAAGGUCACAUUGGUGAAAGGAAAACUAAGUGCUGUGUAAAUUACAAAGUUGUCUAAGUAUCCACCUGGUCCUUACCUUGCUAUAGAAUCUUUUUUUUUUUUAGACGGAGUCUAGCUCUGUCGCCCAGGCUGGAGUGCAGUGGCGCAAGCUCCGCUUACUGCAAGCUCCGCCUCCUGGGUUCAUGCCAUUCUCCUGCCUCAACCGCCCGAGUAGCUGGGAUUACAGGUGCCCACCACCACGCCCAGCUAAUUUUUUUUUUUUUUUUGUAUUUUUAGUAGAGACGGGGUUUUCCCAUGUUAGCCAGGAUGGUCUUGAUCUCCUGACCUCGUGAUCUGCCCACCUCGGCCUCCCAAGGUGCUGGGAUUACAGGUGUGAGCCACCACGCCCAGCCUACCUUGCUAUAGAAUCUUUAGGCCUAAUAUAGUCUAGCCAGAACAGCUAUUUGGAUGCUUGCCUAAUCUUCAAUACUGGUUUCCCUUUUAUACAUGACUGCAAAACUGACUCUCACCUAGGUUUGUGAUGUUAGAAACUCCAGUUGUUUACUAUUAUUAUUAAAGUGGGAAACGGAGUUCGUUGAUCAAAUGGAUUAAUGUUUUGAGUACUUACUAUACACCAGGGGCUCUUAAAUUUUUACAUAAACUUUCUGGAUGGAGAGUGAUAGAAUCUCCAUUGUUCACUUGCCACAAGCCACACCAUUUGUAGCUAACAUUUGAAUGCUUACUAUGAGCAAAGGCACUGUUCCAAGGGCAUUACAUGCACAUCAUUCAUAUUUCUCAUUUAAUCUUUAUAACAACUCCUUAAAAUACUGGUAGUAUUCUUGUUCCCUAAUUUGUCAAUAAGAAAACUGAAAUUUAGAGAUUAUACAAUUUGCCCAGCACUAUUGGAAAGCUGGGACUUUGAAACCUGGCUGAUUUGACUCCAAAGUCUGCACUCUAUUCCAACAGACUGCCAGUGCCUCCAGAAUUAAUUAGCAUUAAUAUUUUCUGUUGUUUAUGAUCUAAGUAUGGCUGUCCAUGGCAGGGAGUUAAUGAGGGAGGCAUUAAUGGGGAAACACUGGACCACUUCUGAGAGAUGUGGUGCCCUCCCUCACAAACAGGUUUCUUGUGGUGAAAUCAGGUUGGAAGGAUAAGAGAGGCUGAAGAAGGUGGAGGUGGUGUAGUUGGGCCUGUUUAGGAACUGAUUACAUCUGAGCCUCUGGCCCUUUUUCCUGCCAGCUGACUCAGAGCUGGCAGAUGGGCCAAAGUCCAGGCAGGUUGAUUUCAUGGGCUGUAUACUUCAAAGGAUCUGAUUCCUGGUGCUACUAAGCACAUUGCUUUUCCGAAGGCACAGUCUUGUGGGGGAGGGAACAGGAUGGUCUCCAUGAGGUGUUUGUGAAAGCCCUAGGCAAUGUUUGCUCUAAUCCAAAUAUAUACAGCUUGUUUUGAGUUUGGCAAUAAAACACAGAGCCAGCCCUAAGCAGGGCUGAAAACUGAGUAUUUAAACCUUAAGUAUUCUGCAAUACAACAACAGUUAAGUAUAUGGGUCCUAGAGUCAGAUAGAACUGAAAUCUAAUCUUGACUUCACCACUCAGCUGUAGAUAAAUUACUAGACCUCAGUUUUCUUGUUCGUGAAAUGGGGAUUUUAGUUAUAGAGUACCUACUUCAUAUGGUUGUCGUGAGGAUUAAACAAAAAUGUAUACCACAGUACCUGAGAUGUAGUAAACACUCUUGAAACAUUAGUCAUUAUUCAUUUUUUAAAUUUUUCCUUCAAAUACUUUCCUAUCCAAUAGUCAUUAUUCAUUGAAAACUUCUAUUUUAUAAGACGAUCUCAGCACUUAAACAAAAUAAAUUGAUUCAUCAUGUUUUCACUUAACAGGCAUUCAAAAGGCAUUUAUUAUUGUGUUGGGUAGAUGGAUGGAGAAAAUAGCAAUAAUUUUUGUUGAACACCUAAAAUGAGCCAAACUUUUUAAAAAAUAUUGUCUCAUUUUAUGCUCACAACAGCUCUAUGAAGUAUUUUCCUAUAUUAUAGAUGAGAUCAUGGGCCAAGAGAGGAUUAGCAACAUGCCUAAGAUCAUAUAGUCAGCACUGUCUAAUUCUGAAGCCUAUGAAUAAGGUAGCAUUUAUCCCCACGGAAGCAUGGUAUUCAGCAGGCAGGCAGACACAUAAACAAGUACAGCUGGCCCAUCUAGCCUCACGUUCUGCAUCCAUGGAUUCAACCAAAAAUGGAUUUAAAAUAUUGGGGAAAAAACAAAUAAUAAAACAACUAAAAAAUACAAAUUUUAAAAUAUAGUAUAACAACUACUUACAUAGCUUUUACAUUGUAUUAGGUAUUAUAAGUAAUGUAGAGAUGGUUUAAAGUAUACAAGAGAGUCUGGACACAGUGGCUUAUGCCUGUAAUCCCAGCUUUUUGGGAGGCCAAGGUGGGUGGAUCCCUUGAGCCCAGGAGUUUGAGACCAGCCUGAGCAACAAGAUGAAACCCUGUCUCUACAAAAAAUACAAAAAUUAGCCAGAUGUGUUGGUGCAUGCCUGUGGUCCCAGCUACUCGGGAGAGUGAGGUGGGAGAAUCACUUGAGCCUCAGAGAUCGAGGCUGCAGUAAGCUGUAAUCACGCCACUGCACUCCAGCCUGGGUGACAGAGUAAGACCCUGUCUCAAAAGUAAUAAUAAUAAUAAAGUAUACAAGAGGAUGUCAUAUGUUAUAUGCAAAUAUUAUACCUUUUUUUUUUUUUUUUUUUGAGACAGUCUCUUGCUCUGUUGCCCAGGCUGGAGUAGAGUGGUGCUAUCAUAGCUGACUGUAACCUCGAACUCUUUCCUGAACUUGAGUGAUCUUCCUGCUUCAGCCUCCCAAGUAGCUGAGACUACAGGCAUGUGCCAUCACAUCCAGCUAAUUUUUAAUUUUUAAUUUUUUUUGUAGAGAUGGGGUCUCACUGUGGUGCCCAGGCUGUUAUGCCAUUUUAUAUAAGGGACUUGAACAUCUGCAGAUUUCAAGGGGAAAGAGUUUGAGGUUACAGUCAGCUAUGAUAGCACCACUCUACUCCAGCCUGGGCAACAGAGCCAGAGACUGUCUCAAAAAAAAAAAAAAAAAGAGGAGAGUCCUGGAACCAACUCCCCACAGUUAUGGAGGAAGGACUGUACCUACAGUCAAAGUGCUGUCGUUGAGUUUUACACUAGGUGCUUGGGAGAACAGAAUGGAAUAGGUGAACUCUGGGCAUGAAGUGAAGGUAGUCCCCUUCACAGGAAUAAAUGCUAAUAAUGGGGCUUCAGGUGAGAAUGAGGAAGGAAGCCUUUGCUGGUGGAGGAGUUAAGGGAGUUCUUUCUGGGUUUCCCUAAGUCACACUAGAAGAAAAGGGUUACAGGGAGGCCUUUCUGGAAUUCCUCAAGUCAAUAUGACAGCCUCUUAGAUCCAGCAUUACAACUGCAGCAAAUUUUAUAGCUGCAAACAAAGAAACUGUCUCCAGAGAGACAGAUUAUGUUGUUUACUUGAGGCAAAAUGGUGGGGGUUCUAUAUAAAUGAUAUGUCUGCAUCCGAAUCAUCUGUACCUUUUUGGGCUUUAGAACCAAACCUAAUAGUAAUAAUAGCAACCAAUUCUUAACUGCAUGAUCAUUAGGUACUAAUCACUGCUAUGUUCACAGGCUAGAACUCUCAACUGGAGAAAGGUAGAGUUGUUUGUCUAAAUCAAUAAUCUCAAAUUAAGUACACUUAAUUUGAGCAUAUACCCCCAAUAUAUGUAUAUUACUUUAUAAGUUAUACACAUCCACUAUUGGGCUAAUAUAAAAUAUACAUUAUGAAAUGUAAACAAAAAGUUUGAAGGAAUACAAUGAAAAUGAAUAAACUUUUAUCUCAGGGAAAAUAUAUACUUAGGUUUCUGUAUCUUGUUAUUAAGUGGAUACAAAUUAAUACUGUAUUUCAAAUAGAUUUUUUAAUAGUUUUGGAUGUUUUGAGUCAGCUGGUCAGAUUUUGUUAAUCAUUGUAUUUAACUUCAUAAUGUGACUGAUGAAGGGAUCAUACUAAGUAAAAGUGUCAGUUCUGCCAUUUGAGAGUGGGGGAUCCUAUGUAUCAUCUUCAAUUCACAGGGUUUUCUUUUUCCCAGCAAUUUUUUAAAACCAAUUAUUCACUUUGUAAUAUUUCAUUUUGUUAAAGUUAGAUUUUAAAAAUCCAUAAAUCCCCUUUUGAACCACAAUAUGUCACUAAUGCUCAAAGAAAGAAACUCCAUUUGUAUCUCAUCUGAUGUGAGCGUCAAAUAUAGAAACAAUGUGGGGAUGCCAACCUCAAUCCAUAUGGAUGAAUAGGGCUUAAUUUUCUCAUGAUAAACCUAAGUAGAAGCUAUGAAAAUUCUUACCACACUUCAGUGAAUUAUCUUGUAUACCUCUAGAGUGAGCACAUUCCACUUUGGAGAUCAGUAGUCUCAGCAACAAGACCUGUGGCCAUAAAGUGGGAAUAAACAAUCCAAUUUUUAGCAAUGCUUGGCCCAGAUUCACUUAUGAGUGACAUGAGAAAGGUACAACAUGAUAUUCCAGGAAAUCAGAAGAGCUAAGUAUAUCUGAACCUUUGAGAGUAUGGCCUGUCCAUACAAAGGCAGAAUCUACAUUUGUCAAGUGCCUUCAAGAAACAUUCUACCAAGAUAUGCACCUCCACAAAAGUAAGAAAAAGAGAAAAAAAAGAUUUUAAAAUUUUAUUUUAUUUUUUUGAGAUGGAGUCUCGCUCUGUCCCCCAGGUUGGAGUGCAGUGGCGCUAUCUCAGCUCACUGCAAGCUCCGCCUCCCAGGUUCACUCCAUUCUCCUGCCUCAGCCUCCCAAGUAGCUGGGACUACAGGCGCCCACCACCACACCCGGCUAUUUUUUUUUUUUUGUAUUUUUAGUAGAGACGGGGUUUCACCGUGUUAGCCAGGAUGGUCUCAAUCUCCUGACCUCGUGAUCCACCCACCUUGGCCUCCCAAAGUGCUGGGAUUACAGGCGUGAGCCACCGCACCUGGCCUUUAAAAUUUUAUUUUUAAAAAAUCACACACACACAAAAUACAUUCUACUUUUUAAGAAAAUUGACUUAGAUUUAAUCCCAGCUCUGCUAUUUGCUAACCAUGCAAUUUUGGGAAAGUAACGACCUAUUGGAGCCUGUUUCCCAUCUCCAAAGUGAGAAUGAUUAAUGCUAUACCUACUUCACUGAGAAGAAGAGUGUAUCAUGGUCAUAUUGACCCCUCACUAUGUGCAUAGAGAUGCUGAGCUAAACUCUUUACAAGCGUUUAUUUAAUCCUCAAUAUACCAGUGACUAGAGGCUAAGCAGUUUACCAAAGCAUUUUCCUUUCCCUCCUUAGCACACAGGACUAUAUUUCCUGGCCUCCUUUGCAGUUAGGUGCAGCCACAUUACUGUGUUCUAGCCAUUGAAAUAUGGAAAGAAAUGAUCAAUACUACCUCCAGCCCUGGCCCAUAAAACUUUCCUUUCCAUUCUUCGUGCUCUCAUUCUUCCUUCAUCUGCCGGAGGAUUCAGCAGAACCAUUAGGUGCACAGAGCUCUUCUCUCCUCCCACUACUUCCAACGUGCAUUGAACUGUGAUGUGAGCCAGAAAUAAACUCUUAUUGUGUUAAAU